UACGUAGGGUGCGAGCGUUAAUCGGAAUUACUGGGCGUAAAGCGUGCGCAGGCGGCGCGUUAAGACAGGUGUGAAAGCCCCCGAGCUUAACUUGGGAAUUGCGCUUGUGACUGGCGUGCUGGAGUGUGGCAGAGGGAAGUGGAAUUCCACGUGUAGCAGUGAAAUGCGUAGAGAUGUGGAGGAACACCGAUGGCGAAGGCAGCCUCCUGGGCCAGCACUGACGCUCAUGCACGAAAGCGUGGGGAGCAAACAGG
rnacentral:rRNA from 1 species